AAUAUUGGUCAAUGGACGCAAGUCUGAACCAGCCACGUCGUGUGAAGGAAGACGGCCCUACGUGUUGUAAACUUCUUUUGCAAGGGAAUAAAGAGGGCCACGCGUGCCCUUUUGCAUGUACCUUGCGAAUAAGGACCGGCUAACUCCUCGCUAGCAGCCGCGGUAAACCGGAGGAUCGGAGCGUUAUCCGAAUUUAUUGGUUUUAGAGGGUGCUCAGGCGGGGGAUUAAGUCGGCAGUGAAAUUUUGCGGCUCAACCGUAAAAGUGCCUUCGAAACUGGUUUCCUUGGGUGUGGAUGAGGUAGGCGGAAUUUGUGGUGGAGCGGUGAAAUGCAUAGAUAUCACGAGGAACUCCGAUUGCGCAGGCAGCUUACCAGGCCAUAACUGACGCUCAAGCACGAAGGCGUGGGGAUCAAACAG
rnacentral:rRNA from 1 species